GAUGAACGCUGGCGGCGUGCCUAAUACAUGCAAGUCGAGCGAACAGACGAGGAGCUUGCUCCUCUGACGUUAGCGGCGGACGGGUGAGUAACACGUGGAUAACCUACCUAUAAGACUGGGAUAACUUCGGGAAACCGGAGCUAAUACCGGAUAAUAUAUUGAACCGCAUGGUUCAAUAGUGAAAGACGGUUUUGCUGUCACUUAUAGAUGGAUCCGCGCCGCAUUAGCUAGUUGGUAAGGUAACGGCUUACCAAGGCAACGAUGCGUAGCCGACCUGAGAGGGUGAUCGGCCACACUGGAACUGAGACACGGUCCAGACUCCUACGGGAGGCAGCAGUAGGGAAUCUUCCGCAAUGGGCGAAAGCCUGACGGAGCAACGCCGCGUGAGUGAUGAAGGUCUUCGGAUCGUAAAACUCUGUUAUUAGGGAAGAACAAAUGUGUAAGUAACUAUGCACGUCUUGACGGUACCUAAUCAAAAAGCCACGGCUAACUACGU
rnacentral:rRNA from 1 species